AGUGGGGGAUAACGUAGCGAAAGUUACGCUAAUACCGCAUAUGCCCUGAGGGGGAAAGGAGGGGAUCGUAAGACCUUUCGCUUUCGGAGUGGCCGAUAUCGGAUUAGCUAGUUGGUGAGGUAAAGGCUCACCAAGGCGACGAUCYGUAGCUGGUCUGAGAGGACGACCCGCCACACUGGAACUGAGACACGGUCCAGACUCCUACGGGAGGCAGCAGUGGGGAAUUUUGGACAAUGGGCGCAAGCCUGAUCCAGCCAUGCCGCGUGAGUGAAGAAGGCCUUCGGGUUGUAAAGCUCUUUCAGCCGGAAAGAAAUCCUACUCGUUAAUACCGAGUGGGGAUGACGGUACCGGAAGAAGAAGCACCGGCUAACUACGUGCCAGCAGCCGCGGUAAUACGUAGGGUGCGAGCGUUAAUCGGAAUUACUGGGCGUAAAGCGUGCGCAGGCGGUUUCGUAAGACAGAUGUGAAAUCCCCGGGCUUAACCUGGGAACUGCAUUUGUGACUGCAAGACUAGAGUGUGGCAGAGGGGGGUAGAAUUCCA
rnacentral:rRNA from 1 species